ensembl:lncRNA
AGUCAAUCAUGAUACUGGCUUUGGGUUUUUUUUUUUUAAAUUGCUUUUGAAAUGGGGCCCUAGGAUGGAAGAGCUUCCAUCCUGGCUGCCCUGGAGCUCCUGGCAGCAACUCCCGCUCCUGUGCCCUGAGCACUCAGGGCCCCACCGCUAGCCAUCAAAGAAUCGAGAUGGAGGCUGGGUCCUUCUGGCUUUAAUAUCUGGGUGUUUCCCCCACAUUGGACUCUGUCAUCCCCCUGCCCCAUAUCUCUCUGCUACAACUCUCAGCUCAACCCUGAGGCCGCCAGCCCCUAGACCCUCGGCCACGAGGUAUCAUCAUCUGCCUGCUGUUUGCAAACUCCUUAACCAGGCCUUAGAAGUGCUGAAUACUUUAAAUGGUAAAUCAUCUUGAUUGCUAUAAAAAAUGGGUUUGGCCAAGAUGUGGGGCCUUCUCUGUAGCCUGCUGUGUCCUCAGUUUCCCUCCAGAAUUACACGACCUCAUAGUUUCAACAAGCAGUUCGCAGUGGAAUGAGUGAUUUGUGGCCAGCAGAGUUAGAGGAGUUUAAUUUAUGAUGGCAUUUUUUUUUUCUUUACAGGAAAUAAAGGAAAAGAACGUCUUGCUAACUCCACAAAGCUGCUGUACCACUGUUCAUUUGUCCAGGCAAUUCCUCAUGGACCAGUAAUGAGCUUCAGCUCGGUCAAACCCAUUUUUUAUAGCAAUCAAGAUGAUUUACCAUUUAAAGUAUUCAGCACUUCUAAGACCUGAUUGAGGAGUUCGCAAACAGCAGGCAGAGCUGGGCAGAAAUCAGGACAGAUGGGACCUCAGCGAUCAUGGGUUCCAGCCUUUUCCUUUCACAGCUUCACAUAGAGGCAGAUGCCACACAAGCCACCCACCCAGAUGCAGAGCCAGAUUCCCUGCAUGGACUGGACGGGAGUUUCCCAGCUGGAGUUCUCUGGGCCCAGUUGCCUGUGACAUGGGGUUGGGGGUGCUCCAGAAAGUCAUGGCCACCCCUGGAGGAAGUGACUUGUGGCUGACUGCUCAAGGGGAAGUCCUGUGGCGGUGGAGUCGUCAGCAUUCAUUCAAAUAAGGUAAGUGCUUCAGCAGGGAUGAGGGAGGGGCUGAAAGGCUGGGGGUGACUGCGAUGACCUCAAGCUUGAACUGAAACCUCUGGAAGGGCAUUGUAUUCGAACUGUUUAGAUGAUUGCAUGGAAUCAUCUCAUUUUUACAUCAGCAGAAGCCUAGACUCAGAGAGGUGAAGUGAUUUGUCUGAGGUCACACAGCACGGUAGUGAUUGGGCUGGGUCUGAGGGCCUCUCUGGGGGUGCAUCUGAAGUCUCUGUGCCUCAGGGAAGCGGGAGGAGUGGAGACUGGGGCUGUGGCCAGGCUCUUCCUAGCCUUCCUAGGUGUCUAUCUCCUCUUCAGUGUCAUCUCCACUUUCCUUUCCCUCUGUUUCUUCCUCCUCUGCCUACAACACUCUUAGUUUGUUCUAAAUGCCCCCUUGUCAGAGCUGAGGAACUUGAGGUGACAUGCUGAAGACCCUGGGUGAGGAUCCUGGUUUGACGCAUUUUUCUUGGAACCCUUGGAUGUUCCUGGGGUGUAAGUGUGUGUAGGGUGUGAGUGUGUUGUAUGUGUACCCAUGUGUGCUUUGUGUGUGUGGUUUGGUUCUGUGGUAUGUGAAUGUGUGUGCAUGCACAUGUGUGGUGUGAGUGUAUGGAGUGUGUGCACAAUGAGUAUGUAUGGUGUGUGUGCAUGCAUGUGUAGUGUGCACGUAUGUGUGUGAAUGUGCGGUAUGUGUAUCUGUGCACAUGUGCAGGGUGUAGCUGGUGUGUGCUCA